CUCUUAAUGGCGAGCAGUAUAUACCGCUAUCAGCGUUGGCCAUGUAUUGGACACACUACACAUUUAAAGGUCGACUGAGAAAACUCUGGUUCAAGGUUGAAAUGGAAGAUCUGGCUGAGAAAUGGGUGAAAUAUAUCAAUACAAAUGACACCUACUGGACACACCUUGAAUUAAAGCUUCACUGUUGUGGCCUUGAUGGACCACGUUGGUAUAUGCAUUACCUGCUCAGGCUGCCCCAAUCAUGCUAUAAUCCGCGUCUAGUAACCAAAGGAUGUCAAAGUGUUCUACAUGACACAUUCGAUUCGAUGCAUACCCUUGCUUAUAUGUUGUACGUUAGCGCUAUCCUGCUGGAGUAUAUUAUGCUGGUAUUUUAUGUGGCUUUUCUGUUUAAAAAGAGAUUUUCAAAUGCGCUUAAGAACAAAAAUAUUAAAUUUAAAUUUAAAAU